rnacentral:sRNA from 1 species
UGAAAGCCCUGGAGACUGAAGUCCACUCUUUAUCCACAGGACAUGGACAGCAGAGACAAUGGCAUGCAAGUGUCCUCAAAUUGAUCCACAACUGUAUCUUAACCUGGGACCUGAGCCCUGAAAGCCCAAGUCAGCUGACCUAGGUCAGCCAGGGAUUUUUAUGUAGAUGUGCU